UCUCACAAAUAAUCAAUUUCUCCAGCAAACAUAUGAACAACUCUAUUUAAAUAGAGGCUCUUAUGCUAAAACUAUUAAUAGGGGUGACCACUCUACCUGCGCAUUCAUCACUCAAAUAAUACCGAUAAUUAACAGACCUUAAAAGGACAAGCACAACUUAAUAAACAAGCCCUUUAAAUACUGUGAGCCCAACUCAGGUGCGCAAUAUUAAAAAAUUAAAAGUUACAAAAGGAACUCGGCAAACACAGAUUUCAACUGUUUACCAAAAACAUAGCCUUUAGCCAGACAAGUAUUGAAGGUAAUGCCUGCCCAGUGAAAUAACUCUUAACGGCCGCGGUACCCUAACCGUGCAAAGGUAGCGUAAUCA
rnacentral:rRNA from 1 species